AAGUGCGAUAAGCAAUGCGAAUUGCAGAACCGUGAGUCAUCAGAUUUUUGAACGCAACUGGCGCCGGUUGGCUCUCCAACCGGCAUGCUUGUUUCAGUGUCUCUUUAUCUCAUCACCCAUAUCAUAAUGCGAGAGAUACCCUUCUCUUGCUAAGCUCGAAAGCACUCUGCGCUCUGCGAGCGGCUUCGACUUGUUCGAGGGUCGCACUCAAUGCAGCCGUCACAUUGCUCACAAUGUGAACUCAUUGAGAGCUGAGGCAGUGUAGCGUAAGCUACCAGUGCUUAGUCACACAAACUUUACUUGCAUCUGAAAUCAAGCAGGAUCACCCGCUGAACUUAAGC
rnacentral:misc_RNA from 1 species